UCAGUAACAAAGAUUCAUUCUUGU
rnacentral:miRNA from 1 species